rnacentral:rRNA from 1 species
GACGAACGCUGGCGGCGUGCUUAACACAUGCAAGUCGAACGCUGAAGCUCAGCUUGCUGGGUGGAUGAGUGGCGAACGGGUGAGUAACACGUGAGUAACCUGCCCUCUUCUUUGGGAUAACGCCCGGAAACGGGUGCUAAUACUGGAUAUUCACUGAUUCUCGCAUGGGGGUUGGUGGAAAGGUUUUUUCUGGUGGGGGAUGGGCUCGCGGCCUAUCAGCUUGUUGGUGGGGUGAUGGCCUACCAAGGCUUUGACGGGUAGCCGGCCUGAGAGGGUGACCGGUCACAUUGGGACUGAGAUACGGCCCAGACUCCUACGGGAGGCAGCAGUGGGGAAUAUUGCACAAUGGGCGAAAGCCUGAUGCAGCGACGCCACGUGAGGGAUGGAGGCCUUCGGGUUGUAAACCUCUUUCGCUCAUGGUCAAGCCGCAGCUUUGGGUUGUGGUGAGGGUAGUGGGUAAAGAAGCGCCGGCUAACUACGUG